AGCUCCAAUAGCGUAUAUUAAAGUUGUUGCAGUUAAAAAGCUCGUAGUUGAAUUUCGGGAUCAAAUUGUCGGUCGUGCCUCGGUACGUACUGGCGUUAUUGGUUCCUCCCUUCUGAAGAACCGCGAUGUCAUUAAUUUGGUGUCGCGGGGAAUCAGGACUGUUACUUUGAAAAAAUUAGAGUGUUUAAAGCAGGCUCGCGCUUGAAUACAUUAGCAUGGAAUAAUGAAAUAGGACGUUUGAUUCUAUUUUGUUGGUUUCUAGGAUCGACGUAAUGAUUAAUAGGGAUAGUUGGGGGCAUUAGUAUUCAAUUGUCAGAGGUGAAAUUCUUGGAUUUAUUGAAGACUAACUACUGCGAAAGCAUUUGCCAAGGAUGUUUUCA
rnacentral:rRNA from 1 species